rnacentral:lncRNA from 10 species
CUGGGAUUACAGGUGUGAGCCACCGCAUAUGGCCAACGAGGUUAAUAAUUUUAUAAUCAUCAUAAAAAAUUUUGACACCAUAUAAUAUCUAGCUGUGAUUUUAAAUAUAAAAUCACUUGAUGAAUUAAUAUAAACUAUAAGGUAUGCUGAUAAUUGUUAAAAUAUCUCUAAUUUGUUUUUACCAAUAAUUUUAAAGCCAACUUAUUUAUUAAAUAUUUAUUUAAGUCACAUGUACUUCAAAUGCAUUGGGCUCAUUUACUUAAUUUGAAAAUAUUUAUUUCAAAGCCAAUUUUGUACCUAGUAGCCACAACACACACACACACACACACACACACACACACACAUAUAUAUACAUGCACAUAUUAACACAUCUACGCAUACACACACUAAUACAAAGAUACUAGAGCUUUUACUUUGAAACUCUAGCUAUGGAAUAUGUAUAGAAACUCAGCAGUCAUUUACAAAAAAAAGUUUAGAUGUAAACAGUGGUUAUCUUAAAACCAGUUGAAAAGCCCUGUAAACUGGAAAACAGAAUAUUUUUAAGCAAAAAAAAAAAAAAAUCCUCAUCUUUCUUUAUAAACCUCACCAAAAGCUAAUUAUACUCUUUUACUAUUCUAAUUCUUAGUAACCCUAAUUCAAGUGAGAAACCUAGGAUUACUUAAUUUAACAUGACAUGACUAAGAUUUUAAAUUACUGAAGAUAGUUAUGAGACUAAAUUUGACAAAUCAAUAUUUGUAAAGUAAUGUAAAAUUUAAAGCUGACUCUAAAAAACAGAUGUACAUUUUCUUUACAAAGUGUUGCAUUAAACAGAAUUAACUUGAUUGGUGGUCUUUGAAACACAGCUUAAUUAGAUUACUGGACUUAGAGUGGAGCCAUUUAAGAAAAAGGGCCAAGAAAACAUGCAGUUUUUAGGGCAUAAACUACAAUUGUUUAUGCAAAUGUGCAAAGAAAUGAGUAGCCUUCUAUAGUGAUGAUCAUUUUCUGCUAACUGCCCUCAGCCACCCCUAACGUAGCUUUCAAAGCCACCCCUAACAUUGGAGCUUUCAUUCACUAUUGCACACACCACGAAUGAAUCCUCUCACAGUACAACGUAAUUCUGGUAGCAUCCAAAGCCAAAAACAUUACAUAAUCCAAGAAAGCAGAGCUUUGUACAUGAGAAGAAUCUGCAAAUGAUUCUUGAAACCACAAAGGAAGCAGGAAAACUCCCAAAAGGUUAGUGGCAAGAUCCAAAAGGAACCGCCCUCCCUGCCCGGAUCCAGGGACCUGAUGUGGAGCUGCCUCCUAAGGGAGCGGUGGUGUCCUCAGUGCUCCCUGGUGGUUCUGAGCGAACACUGGUUUACUGAGCUCACCCUGGUGUCCUGAGAGCUCCCUGUUGUCCUGAGUGCCCCCUGGAGGAUCUGAGUGCCCCCUGGUGUUCUGAUCGCUCUCUGGUGUCCUGAGUGCUUCCUGGUGUUCUGAACAUCCCCUGGUGGUCCUGAGGGCCGGUCAUGUCCUGAGCACCCCCUGGUGGUUCUCAGCGCCCCCUGGUGGUUCUGAAGUCCCUCUGGUGUCCUGAUUGCCCCCUGAUGGUUCUGAGCGCCCCCUAGUGUCCUGAGUGCGCCCUCCUGUCUUGAGAGACCUGGUGGUCCUGGGCGCCCCCUAGUGGUUCUGAGCCCCCUAGUGUCCUGAGCGCCCCCUGGUGGUUAUGAGCUCCCGCUGGGAUCUUGAGCGCCCCUUGGUGGUUCUGAGCACCUGCCAGUUUCCUGAGUGCCCCCUGGUGAUUCUGAGCUCUCCUUGGUGGUUCUGAGUGCCUACUGGUGUCCUGAAUGCCCCCUGGUGGUUCUGAGCAGCAACUAACAUGCAGUCCCCUCCUGUCUCCCUGCAGGGACUUUUGUGUCUGUGCUCACAUAGAUGUCCCCACACUGUGUCCCUCACAGUAAUACACAGACUUGUCUUGGGCUCUCAGUUUUAUUAUCUUAAAAGAGAAUCUUCUGAACAGUGUCUCUGAGGACUGUUAAUCUUCUUUGUACUGAAGGCGAGUCCCAUUGAGAACUUCCACUUGAAUUACUGUUAUCUCCCUCACCAACACUUGCCAUGAAUCCUGCUGGACCAAACUUGUUCUUUUUUCAGUGAAUCCAGGGGCUUUGCAGAACAGUCUGAGAAUUCUUGGUCUGUAGUAUUUUCCUGUCUGACUCCACUAGUUAACUUCACAGAGGACUUCUGCACACACAGAGGCAACAGACUGAGAACAGCCCCACGUGGAGCAGCCACAGCUGAGCCUGAUCCACGGGGAAGUUGAAUAUUGAGAGUGAUGACAAGAGAAGCUCAGAUCAGCACAGACCCCAUGGUCAUGAGUACAUAGUUUCUACCUCCCUUACCUGUGAGUCCUGGCACAAUCUAUCAUCCUCUAAAACCUAGGGGCCACUAAGAACAGACAGAAGUUUGAAUCCUAUCAAGUUUUGAGAGACCCACAAUUACUGUCUGGGCUGAUUGGUGAGGGUGAUCUCUAUGAGCCUAGUCUUUGAAGAAGUAUAUGAUGGCUUUUGUUAUAAAGAACAGAUAACAACAAAGACAGUCAAGGAAAAUGAAGAAGCAGGGGAACAUGGUCCAAACAGAAGAACAACCAAAAGGUCCAUAAACUGACAUCAAUGAAAAGGAAGAACAUGGAUUACCUGACAGAAACUUUAAAGUAAAUGUUAGAAACAUGUUCAAUGAGCUAGUGGCAGCAUGCAAGAACAAUGUGAGAAUUUUAAUAAAGAUAAAACAUUUAAAAGAUGACUAAACAAAAAUAUUGAUCCUGAAGAAUACAGCCAAAAAUUUUAACAAGAUUUUAGACCAAACUAGAUCAAGUAAUAGAAGAAACAGUAAACUCAAAGAAAGAUCAUUUGAAAUAGUAGAGACAGAGAAGAAAAAUUUAAGUGAAAGAAAUAAAAAAGAGUUCAAGACUUAUGGGCCAGGAAAGACACUAAACACUCAACUACGCAUUUGAGGAGUUAUACAAAGACAAGACAAAAGGGGUAGUGAAGGGAGAGAGGGGGAGAGAGAGAGAGAGAGAGAGAGAGAGAGAGAGAGAGAGAGAGGGAGAGAGAGAGAGAGAGAGAGAGAGAGAGAGAGAGAGAGAGAGAAGAGAUAAAUUAUUCAAAAUAAUAGCAAAAAAUAUUUCCAAAUUUGGAGAAGGGAAGCAAAUAUUCAUCCACAAUGAAGAAGCUCUAUAAAUUUUACGUAAGAUAAACCCAAUGACAAAAAAUGUGACACAGUUUAAAACCACAUUGCUGGAAAUAAAAGAGGCUUUAGAAAACAGAAAGAAAAGGAACAGAUUUCUCAGCAGAAGGUUUUCAGUUCAGAAGGCACAGGGAUUGUAUUCAAUGGUGUGUGGUUUAUUGACAGAGGUUCUUUUUGAGAAAUGUGUCCCUGGGCAAUUUCAUCAUUGUGCAAGCAUCAAGGGUGAAUUUUCACAAACCUACAAGGAAUACCCUACUACACACAGGGUAUGUGGAUUAGCGCAGGGUUCCCAGACAACUAACCUGUACAGCGUGUUACUGCACUGAACACUGCAGGAAAUGGAAACACCAUGGUAAGUAUCUCUCUAUCUAAACACAUCAAAACAUGGAAAAAGUUUAGUGAAAAUAUGGUAUUACAACAUUAUGUGGCCACAAACAUAUAUGUGGUCUACUGUUGACUGCAGCAUUGUUACGUAACACAUGACUUUACUCAAAUUGACGUGGGUUGGGGGGGACUAAAAAUAAAUAAAACCCUGCCAAGACGAAUCUUUACCAUGUAAAUCCUUUUCAGAAAUGAAGAUUAGAUUAGAACUUUCCCAGACAAAAACUAAAGGAGUUCUUCACUGCUGGACCUGCCUUAAACACCAAAGGGUCUCAACUAGGUCUGCAGAAUAAUGAUGUAGCUGCAUCAGCUCCAUUCUGGCCUCUGCCAUGUGACAGUUUUUUGUGGAUUUGCUUUCUACACCCUCAUGGCUUUUUUCUGUCUAAACUUCUAAAUUCAUUCUCCUUUUAAUUUGCAGUUUAUUGAAAAUAUUCAUAUUUAGCUUAGAACAUUAAAAAACUUUGGAAAAAAUUUCAUCUUAAACCCACCAAGUCUAAUUAACUCUCUUCAGGGAUGCCCCUUUUUUUCUUGUUUUCCUAUAGGAUAUGGCCCUUGUUUCUAUCUCAGUUCAGUCCUUGUUUUCGUAUGCAUGAGGUAUCCAACCAUCACAUGCCCAGGAACACCUUGGAGGAACGUACCCUAUCAUCCACCCCUUCAGCCUUCAUGUGCACAGGGGCCAUUCUUUCAGCUGUUGUAUGCUUUAGGAUUUUCCAUUCAAAAGUGUUUUUCAAUAGCCCCCCAAAGAAAGUCCUUGGACCUUAAAACAUGAUGUGGUGUUGGGGGCAUUGACAGCUAAAUUUCACUGAAAGUAUCUUCUAUGCUUGGUAAUUGGGGAAGACUGGGAAGAAGGUAACAAAACUCAGACCCCAUGUAGCUCCUCAUUUAGCAAUAGAUUCAGUACAAAUUUAGAAAGUUGAAGACAUAGAGUAAUGUUGCUGUGGUUUUCUGUGAUAUAAUAAGGAGACAGCAGAAGAUGGUCAGUGGUCAGUUUCCAUCCAGCUGGUACUCAUUGUCAAUUAAUUAAGUCCUAAUAAAGGAUAAAAUGCAACAUUUGUGACAAAGCCCCAGGGCUUGUUUAAAAGACCUUGUCCCAACAGGGACGUGACAGUUUUUAUAUGAGAGCUACUGUUUUUGCCUAAUUCAUGUGAAAAUCUGAGCGAUGUGCCCAGCUUCAGGGGGCUGCUUCUCCCUCCAGGAGAUGGAGCUAACAGAGUUGUGUGGUAUUAGCCUGUCUGGGUCUUCGUAAGAAGACAAAAGGAGUGGGUGGCUUAAACAACAAAUAUUGAUUUUCUUACAAUUCUGCAGUCUGAAUGUAGAAGAUCAAGGUGCUGGCAGGGUUGGUUCUUGGUGCGGCUUCUUCCUGGCUUGCAGAGGCCCACCUUCUAGUGCACUAUGUCUCCACGUGGCCUCUUCUCUGAGUGCAUGUGAGAAGUGAGAGGUAUCUGGUGUCUCUUCCUCUUCUUAUAAAGACAACAGCUCUAUUGCAUUAGGGUCUCACUUAUGACCACAUUUAACCUUAAUUAUU